GCGUCCGCUAGAUGGCGCUGCUCCGUGCAUCCCGAUAGGCCCCGCCUGCCGCUGGGCGGGCGCCGGAAGGAUGGGGAAGGACCGGGAAGGACCGGAAGGCCCUGGGGUCGCGGGUUCAGGCCGUAGCGCCGCCUCUGGGGCUGAUUCGGGCCCGCCCUGCGGCUGCGUUCGGCCCUUGGGAACUGGAGCCACUUUUCAGCUGCCGCUGGCUCCCAUCUCAGCGCUUUUGCACCGAGAGUCGGUGUUUUUGCACGCUUCUCCCAGGUCAUCCAAUCAAAAGCCUCUGCUCCACCGGGCCAACCCACAGAGCGGCCAGCGAUCCCCCUGCGGCCUUGGCAAGAGACCUUUAAAGAUGCAGGUGGAACCCGGAGAAAGCCAC
rnacentral:lncRNA from 1 species